UCGCUACUACCGAUUGAAUGAUUUAGUGAGCUACAGGGACCGCUGCUGAACUCGGUUUACCGAGCUGAUGCGGUGGGAACUGUUACAAACUUGAUCAUUUAGAGGAAGUAA
rnacentral:rRNA from 1 species